CACAACUUGCAUGUCUUAAUCCUCAGCAACUGGUGCCAAAAAGAGUACAAAACAUGCACAGUGCACCUGCCACACACCACACUGGCAGAGGAGAUGCAAAGCCAGGACACGGUCAGGAAUGCGUUUUUGGCAUGAAAAUAUAAAGAACAUUUCACCUACACACGGUCAAGAAGGUCACAACAUUACAGUGCAAUGCAAGCUCUGUUUGCCAACAACCAAGCAGCUCUCUGCAUCAAAAGACUCCGCAUCUAAUUUGAAAAAGCACCUUGAGUAUGCCAAGAGUUGAAUGGCAGUGCUUGGAAGUGGAACAAUAUGCACACAAUGGGCACUAUUCUUGGAAUGAGCCUACGAAGUUGAAGUUGAAUUAUGAAGACUUCUAUCAUGUUGACUGUUGCCUCAGCGAGGGGAGACAUUGAAUAAGAGUAAUGACAGGGUAUGUCAGUUGUGGUCACAGCACAGUUUUGGUGUCAAGGAUUACAAGGAUUUGUGUUCACCAUGCCUGUUUGAUCUGACCUAUACUAUUUUCACUACUUUACCAGGCUAUUUUAAGCACAGGUCAUUGUUUUGGUGGGUAUGAUGACCUCCCUGUAGUUCAGAUAACAUUGUGAACUGUUUUAGCAGCACCUAAAGAUGCAUCCCUGUAGAAACAACACCCCAUGCUGUGUUUCUUUUAUAGUACACUAUAUACCUGUAUGCUUUUAACUAUCUUAAAGAAAGGGUCUCCUAUCAGUUCCCCUCAAAU